rnacentral:rRNA from 1 species
AGGUUCCUACGGGACGCAGCAGUAGGGAAUUUUCGUCAAUGGGCGCAAGCCUGAACGAGCAAUGCCGCGUGAACGAGGAAGGUCUUCGGAUCGUAAAGUUCUGUUGAAGGGGAAAAAGAGCGGAGAGAGGAGAUGAACUCCGAUUGAUAUUACCCUUCGAGGAAGUCACGGCUAACUACGUGCCAGCAGCCGCGGUAAUACGUAGGUGGCGAGCGUUAUCCGGAAUGAUUGGGCGUAAAGGGUGCGUAGGCGGCCUGCUAAGUCUGGAGUGAAAGGUACCGGCUCAACCGGUACAGGCUCUGGAA